rnacentral:rRNA from 1 species
GAGCUUGCUCCUUUGACGUUAGCGGCGGACGGGUGAGUAACACGUGGGUAACCUACCUAUAAGACUGGGAUAACUUCGGGAAACCGGAGCUAAUACCGGAUAAUAUUUCGAACCGCAUGGUUCGAUAGUGAAAGAUGGUUUUGCUAUCACUUAUAGAUGGACCCGCGCCGUAUUAGCUAGUUGGUAAGGUAACGGCUUACCAAGGCGACGAUACGUAGCCGACCUGAGAGGGUGAUCGGCCACACUGGAACUGAGACACGGUCCAGACUCCUACGGGAGGCAGCAGUAGGGAAUCUUCCGCAAUGGGCGAAAGCCUGACGGAGCAACGCCGCGUGAGUGAUGAAGGUCUUCGGAUCGUAAAACUCUGUUAUUAGGGAAGAACAUACGUGUAAGUAACUGUGCACGUCUUGACGGUACCUAAUCAGAAAGCCACGGCUAACUACGUGCCAGCAGCCGCGGUAAUACGUAGGUGGCAAGCGUUAUCCGGAAUUAUUGGGCGUAAAGCGCGCGUAGGCGG